rnacentral:lncRNA from 1 species
CUCAUAGUAUGUAUCCAUGUACUUCUGAUGCAGAGUCUUGCUGUCCUGUUCACUGAGUUCUCCAACUCAUCCCUGAAACCACGCCUCCUCUCAGCUUCAUGAGAAACUCACAGUACAGAGGCAGAGCACCACAUUCAGCUGAUGAGGCAAAGUUCAGAGAAGAGACUGAAGGAAGGACCAUCCAGAGACUGCCCCACCUGGGGAUCCAUCCCAUAAACAACCACCAACCCAGACACUAUUGCAGAGGCCAACAAGAUUUUGCUAAGAGGAUCCUGAUAUAACUGUCUCCUGAGAGGUUCUCCCAGUGCCUGACAAAUACAGAAGUGGAUGCUCACAGCCAUCCAUUGGAUGGAAUAAAUUGUCUGCAACGAAGGAGCUAGAGAAAGUACCCAAGAAACUUAAGGGGUCUGCAACCCUAUAGGUGGAACAACAAUAUGAACGAACCAGUACCCCCAGAGCUUGUGUCUCUAGCUGCAUAUGUAUCAGAAGAUGGCCUAGUUUGUCAUCAUUGGGAAGAGAGGCCCCUUGGUCUUACAAACUUUACACACCCCAGUACAGGGGAACGCCAGGGCUAAGAAGUGGGAGUGGGUGGGUAGGGGAGCAGGGUGGGCGAGUGUAUAGGGGACAUUUGGGAUAGCAUUUGAAAUGUAAAUGAAAAAAAUCUAAUAAAAAUGGAAAAGAAAGGAAGGAAGGAAGAAAGACAGGAAAGAAAAAAAGAAGCAGAGAAGGGUGAUCCUGUAGAGGACCAGCAUUUUCAAUUAAUAUGGACCCCCGAAAUCUCUCAAACACUAGACCACCAACCAGGCUGCAUACACCAGCUGAUAUGAGGAUACCAACACAUACCCAGUAGAGGACUGCUGGGUCUGUGUUCAUUCAGAGAUGAUGCACCUAACCCUCAAGAGACUUGAGGCCCCAGGGAGUUUAGAUGUCUGCUGUGCUGGGUACUAUGGACAUCCAUGAGUAAACAGGGGGUGCAGAGAUGGUAUGGGAAUAUGCGAACGUUGGAGGGUGGAUGGAGGUGGAGGGAAUAAAAUAUGGACUGUAAAAAUGAAUGAAUUAAUUAAAAAUAAACAAAACCAAAAAACUAGGAUAUCAUGAAUUUUGCAUGCAAAUGCAUUGAACUUAAAAUAUACUAAGUGAGGUAACACAGACCACAAAUUUCCUGCAUGGUAUAUAUAUACAAUUCCUUGUGCAAGUAUUAUUUGCACUAUGGAAUAUUCCCAUUAUUAAAGUUAUAUGGUUUAUAGAAUUAUGCAUGCCCUCAAAUAAAGAAAAAGGAAAUACUCCAACAGAAAUAGACUCCCAGAAAGUCGUUAGGAUCAAAGGCCAAAAAGUCAGGAAUAGGAUCAGCACAAAGGAAAAAAUAACUUGCUAUGCUGUAUGUCAGUUUAGACAGAAGAACCUCAUAGUCAGAACAUAGCUGCAUUUGAAAGAGGAGUGUCAAAGUCUGGAAGGCACAGAAAGAAAUAAAGGGUUCAUGUUAAGUGACAAGGUAUCAAGUACAGUGUACCAGGAAUAUUCAGCUGCCAGAUACCACUGAUUUGUUUUCUGUGUGUCAAUAUAGACAGAAAGGAAGGUAAAAGAAUGUUUUUUCUACCAUAACCUGUUGGUUUUGUUGCUCUUGCCUCCAAACACAGGAAGGAGGGGAAGAGAUGAGUCAACAGCUCUAAUGGAGAUCUCCAGAUUUCAGCAGGCUUUGAUGUCCAUGACUAGAUAUGAGAUAUCUCUUCUAAUUGGUUUUGACUCCAUUCUCUAUCUGAAUGCUCAAACUCCAUCAAUCAUUAGCAAGGAGAGAAAAUAAAAUUUGCCUGCAGGAAGGAAUUUUGUCAAUCAGGGACCUGGCUAUUUUCCAGGACUUAGCUGGACCUGGGUAUAACCAAAGCCUGACUGUAUGGUACAAAAGAGAAGGAAGUAUGCAUCUAGAUUUGACAGCAGACAGGAUCAUUGGAAACUAUCAAAGGCAGUGAUAGUUUCAGAGCCUCCAUUCUACAAUUCCUGUACUCCUGAUUCCUGUACAGGGAACUGUCACCCUAUGUGAAAUUCAGGUAUCACUUUUGGGGUGUGUUUUUCUUGUCUCAGUCAUGCAGAACUCUGUCUUCUGCAAAGAAGAUUUUGAUUUCAAACUUCUGGAAGUAACAAAGACUAGGUGUGUUCAGACAUUUUAUAUCCUUAUGGUACCCACUGUGAGGAAAACUAUGGCAGUGAAUGUAUGCAAGGUUCAAAUUUAGACUCUCUAAAAAUUCAAUUUGUAAAUAACAGACAGAGAUCCUACCAUAGCCAGAAAAUAAGCACUCUUUUGAUCCUGGUGCUGGCAGGCUGUUGCUGUUAAUGAUCACAGAUGUUCAACAAUCCAACCUUUGUUUACACUGUUAAUGGACUUUGGGAAUUACAAGAUACUCUAAGAUGUUUAUUUUUCCAUGUCAGAGAUUUCUUUCUAACAGUUCAGUGGUGUUUGAUUUGUUUGGGGAAAUUAAUAUAUUGUGGCCUGAUGGCAUCCAGCUUUGUAUUAAAUUCUGUUAAAAAAAAAAAAAAAGAAAUGUACACAGUGAUUUUCAUUGUGUCUUUGUACUACAAAACUAUUUUUAGCAAUCAGGUUUCCAUGGUAUUUCUCAGACAUUUAAGAAUCUAUGUAACUGUUUGUGAAUAGGUAUUGCUGUGAAUAGUAAAAACCUUGCAGCAGUAUAUGUUUCAGAAAAUCUCUGUGUGUCAUUCCAAAUACACAUAAAAUGUUCCAUACACAUGAUGUACUCUUGGGAAU